rnacentral:lncRNA from 10 species
GGUCAAUCGGCUGCCAGCCGGAUUGGCCGGCGUAUCAUUCCAGAAUGUACUGUUUGUUCUGUGGGGUUUAGGAGUUCUACAGUGGUUCUGCCCCAUCUUUCUAAAAAUACAAUACAGUGUUUCACUAUGUUACCCAGGCUGGUCUUGAACUCCUGGGCUCAAGUGAUCCUCCCACUUUGGCCUCUCAAAGCACUGGGAUUACAGGGUCUUACUCUGUCGCCCAGGCUGGAGUACAGUGGUGUGAUAUCGGCUCACUGCAACCUCUACCUACCUGGUUCAAGUGAUUCUCCUGCCUCAGCCUCCCGAGUAGCUGGGACUACGGACUUGCCAAAGAAGCUGCUUAUUUCACAGAAGGAUGGUGCUGGCUGAAAGAUACUUCCUUGAAACUGAGAGAUUGCUUCCUUAGACAGGUCUCCUUGAAGAGAAUCCCACUCUGUCAGCCCGGCUG